GAUUGGAACUCCUUGUUUCCAAUUCCUUUUCAUCUAUACUAUGAAUUUCCAUUUCUUUAUUGUCAUGAAUUGUUUUGCUAUGUCUGAGUAGUUCAUUUAUUAGAUAGGUUUGUGAGAUUAGCCCCAAACUAUGAUCUGCCUUGUUGUGAUAUUCAUGAUAGAUUUGUAUUCAUUGCUUGUUUUAGCCUUGCUAACUAGAACUUUAUCAUAGGAUUGCAUACUCAAGCACCCUUGUUAUCUCAUCCUGACAUCUAUCUAUCAUAUUAGGACUGCUAGAGAGG
rnacentral:lncRNA from 1 species